GUGCUCUCUUGGGCAGCACACAUACCAAAAUGGGAACCUUACCAAGAAAAUUAGCAUGGUCUCUGCACAAGGAUGACAUGCAAAUUCAUGAAGGGUACCAUAUUAAA